GCAGGCCGAGGGAGAGGGAGAAGCACGCUCCCCGCUGAGCAAGAGCCCGAUGCGGGGCUCGCUCCCAGGACCCCGGGAUCAUGACCUGAGCCGAAGGCAGACGCUUGACGACUGAGCCACCCAGAGUGAGAGCAUCAGCAGUGUGAUGUGGAAAAAUGGUGCCACUGGAGAGUUUUACACUCCCUGAAGCAUAUCUCACCAAGUUCUGGGGGUGGAACAAUGUCAAGAAAGGAGCUGGGGAGGAAAACAUUUUGGUGAGGAUGACAGAACUAGAGGUGAGUAGUUGUGAAGCUUUCUGAAAUCUGUUGCUUUUUAGAAAAGACAUGUGGGGCGCCUGGGUGGCUCAGUCGUUGAGCGUCUGCCUUCGGCUCAGGUCAUGAUCCCCGGGUCCUGGGAUCGAGCCCCGCAUUGGGCUCCCUGCUCAGCAGGGAGUCUGCUUCUCCCUCUGCCUGCUCUGCCUGCCACUCCCCCUGCUUGUGCUCUCUUUCUGACAAAUAAAUAAAUAAAAUCUUUAAAAAAAAAAAAGAUUAGGGGCGCCUGGGUGGCUCAGUCAUUGAGCGUCUGCCUUUGGCUCAGGUCAUGAUCCCAAGGUCCUGGGAUCAAGCCCUGGCCAUCGGGCUCCCUGCUCGGCGGGAAGCCUGCUUCUCCCUCUCCCACUCCCCCUGCUUGUGUUCCUGCUCUCGCUAUCUCUCUCUCUGUCAAAUAAAUAAAUAAAAUCUUUAAAAAAAAAAAAAGACAAGACAUGGACAGAGGGUCCAGGUGCAGUUGCCGUGGGACAUCCUAAGCGGGGUUCACCAGGGUCCACCAGAGGAGCAGAAACCAUUUAAUUAACUUCCGAAGGAUCUCUGAGCUUCACCAGCUGGGCAGAAGCUGUGAUUGGGCCGUUGUGUGGGCUGGCAGGCCCUGGUGUUUACAGAUUUGGUGAUUCCCCUUUAAUUACAGUGUUGAGUAGUUGCUUUAAACACCAGAUGCUUUGCAUUGCAUUUCUUCCAGCUGCCUGGCCAGGGAAUGUGACCUGGUCCUUGGUUUGUGCUUCUUGUUACUGACUCUGGCAACAUAGCAUGAGUUUUAUACACCCCCCGCCCCCCCCCACUUGUAUAUGUAUAUUUAUAUAUUUUUAUAAACAAUUAUGUAUUAAUUAUAUAUUAGCUAUUAUUUUAAAAUAAUUAUAUAUUAGUUAUAUAUAUUAUACAUACAUACAGAGCUGUUUAAAAAUGAUUAAUCGUAUUAAACCUCUUCUCAUCUCUGAUAAGCCAUUUCUUUGCAUGUUUUUGAUCCUUGCUACACAAAAUGGGGCCAGCAGACAGCAUCAUCAGUACAACCUGGGAGUUUGUAAGAAAGUAGAACCUCAGGCCCUGCACACAGGCUCUGAGUCAGAAUCUGCAUUUUCACAAAAUCCCCAGGUGUUUUGUGUUCAAAUAAGGAUCAACAUCCCUGGAGCAGAGACAGUGCAGUAGGCACUAUUCUGAGGGCUUUAUGGGAUCAACCUGCUUACUCCUCACUGCAUCCUGAUGAGGAACAAAUGAAAUCCUGAGAAGCAGGGACCCAUGGGGGAUACCAUAUGGCCCUGCCCCACUCCCAUCUGCCUCCAGAGCAUGGAUCUUCACCCCAUACUCUAGACCUGGCCCCUUUGUGCACCAACACCUGAUUCAUGAAAGAUCUAAUAGUCCUUGAAAUGUUAUUUAUGGGAACUGUUUAGUUUAGGAUUCUGUAAAAUUAUUAUCCAUGGACUUGUUACUAUUGUAAUUCUUGCCAGUAUAAAAUGAUGAUGAUAACAAUGAUGAUGGUGGUGAUGAUAUUUACUCCAAGCUUUUAGUUUUCUAGCUCUUUGAAGAGCAAGACUGUGAUUUUGGUACUGCCCUACUCUUAGAAAUGCUACAAGCUCUGACUUAGGUUUGGUAUUAUUUCUUGUCUGUUUGGUAGAGAAAUGAUUUCUCCAAGUUCUAGAUGUAGUACUCUUUCUCAAAGUUUCUAGGAUGGAUAGCAUCAAAACUAAAGGCCCAUUCCUUGUUUUCCUCUUUGCAGUAUUACAUGGAAAUAACCAAGGCCCAUUCUGAGAAUGGGACCAUAGCUUUAGAAAGAACUAAAAAUAUUGAUUUCUUCUCCUUAACCUCAAGUUCAUAUAUUCUCCCUUCUUCAAAGAGCAGUAGGAGUAUCACAUGUUUCUGUCAGGGAUGAUUAGGGAAGUUCAUUUCCCCUGUUAAAGGCAUUACAUUUAUAUCCUAUCACUCAAGGCAAUCCCUGUAUUAUAUAUACAGAAUCUUUCAUUUCUGAACCUAUUGGUAACACAUGUCUUAUUACUGGAGUAGAAAAUGGAAAGACUGUAGAAUUUUCUCAGUUCUUCAAGCUGUGGGUGUGGUUCAUUUAUCAUUGUGAAAUCAAUUUUGUCCUAAACAGCAUUUAAAAAGGAAGAAAUGGAACACAGACUAGAAAAUGUAGAAGUACACCAUGUAUUCAUUUGCUAGGGUUGCUAUAACAAAGUACCACAGAAUGAGUGGGUGGCUUAACAACAGAAAUUUUUUUUUUUUUUUUAACAACAGAAAUUUAUGAUCUUAUAGUUUUGGAGACUAGAAGUCUGGGAUCAAGGUGUUGGCAGGGUUUUCCAUGAAACUUUAAACAUCCAUGGGUGUGUGUGUGUUUAUAUGGGUUUCAGUGUUAAAGUAUAUUUCCUAUUAUAUAGGUCAGGUAAAACAUGUUGGAAAAACACAGACUUGCUGAUUUGUUGGUAGGAUGCCCUGCCUUACCCUUCCUUCUUGGGAUGGAGCAGAUUCAUCUUCUAGAUCCACUGUAGGAUCUGGAAGACUAUGAGGAAGGGCAUGAAUGGAUUAUGAGAUAGGUUCUUCUUGCACAUCUUAUACUCCUUCAGAUGACUAUUGUCGGUUUGCUUUUGGUUUUUAGUAAUAUCCAGAUUGUUGGUAGCUCCCAGAGGUUGUAGGACUGAGGUUCCCUUUCCUUGCUGGUCAUCAGCCUGGGACACUCUUAACUCCUAUAAGUUGCUUUUGGGUCCUUGCCACAUGGCCCUCUGCAUCUCAGCAAACCAGAACCUCUUCUCAUAAAUCCCCCACUCUGAUUUCCCCUUCUGCUACUACCUGUAGAAAAAUCUCUGCUUUUGAAAAAGCAUGUGAUUAGUUGAGGCCCACCUGGGAAGUCUCCCUUUUGAUGAACUCAGAGUUAACUAGUUAGUAACCUUAAUUACAUGUGCACACUCCCAUUUGCCAUGUGAAGUAAAAACCAUGUGCUGGUUUUAUCAUGUUCACUGUCCUGGGGAUUUCAGUGAGAAGUUCUGGGGCCAUUUUAGAUAUCCCCAGCAUAGGCCCAGAUCCUGCAAGUUUAUCAGUAAACUUAUAUUUGGUCAGGAGAGAUGCAAACUUAUAUUUGGUCAGGAGAGAUGCCAUUGUGUCCAGGGGAGAAGAUCAUAUAUAUGCCUUUAGCAUUUUUUUUCCUUUGCCCCAUUUGUCUGUAACUUGGCAAACUUAUUUCAGUGGCUCUUUUCCUUCUUCCUUCUUGAGUGAUGCUCUAUACCUCAUUCCAUGAACUCUCUUUGAACCAGUUUUGCUGUCCUGCUGGACCUGUCACUGUUGGGUAGAUAAAGCUCUGACACAUGUCCGUUCUAUAUUUGUAUGGAGUCAUGGGUUUAGCUUUUUGACAAAGGCAAUUCAGUUAUCUGGGAGGCCUGGCCUUGUAGCUUCUGAGACUUUCAAUAUUCUUUUUUUCUUGCCAUAAACCUUUUACUGACUGAGUUCACCCAUAGCUCUGCCUUUGAAUGAAAAGGUAUAAAAAUUCACCUUGUGCAUGGCUUUCUAUCAUUAAAAGUUUGCAUGGUGACUGGCAUCUUAAAAAGGAACUUUGAUGGAAAGCGCUCUGCCAUGUGUGGGAUAUUUUACAGAGAAAGUGAUGGAAAAGUUGAGCAAAGGGAAAAAGAACAGAUACACAUCACACAACUAUGGCUUGAGCAUCUUUCUCUCUGGGCUAGGUUGUUGAAAAGAGAUGGCAAGACUGGGCCAAUGCCUGGACUUACUGAUUAUGGGACUGACCAUGGACAAUUGCCAGACCUAAGACAGAGCUUUCUUUACCUGCAAAGCCAGAGGAAUGCCACCUCCUGCCCCACCUUGGCAUGCAGCCCAAUCUCAGGUCCAAAGCAGACCCUAUGAGGUAGCAGGUAAAUCAAUCUUGCUCUGGGAUAUGGUGAUCCAACAACACCCCCAACCCACCAUUUGUCUUUGGCCUUUGUCACCAACUACAUCAGAGAUCUAGAGUGCCCAGGUUGAUUCUGUGGUUUCCACUGUCCUUUGAGACCCAUCUUUCCUGACUGCUGUGAGGGUCUACUUUGGAAUGUCCCUGAAAUUGAGGUGGAAUCUACAGUUCUGAUCACCAAUUCUGAUGUGGGGCAGGGAUUUUCCCUACACCAUCAAGCAAUUCUUUGACAUUAGCUGGCUGUCCUAUGAUUUAACCCAGUUCUGACAUUAUCUACCUGGAGAGAGCAUCAGAUCUCACAAGUUAAAGGCUCGGUUCUAUAACACUGCUCCUAACUUAGAUGACAAUUGCAGGUCCAGAUUAUCACCUGUGCUUCUGACUGAUCCACUAUAAAUCAGAGGUUCCCAUGACCCUCUCCUUGGGUUUGAUUAAUUUGCUGGAGUGGCUCACAGAACUUAGAGAAACA